rnacentral:lncRNA from 1 species
UAAAAUGAAUAAAACAGUAGUCAAAACAAUUAUUGAAAUGCCUUUUAUAAUUAAUAAAAUGUUAAACUAUUCUAUUUAGGUGUUAAACUUUUUAUCGCAGUGGGUUUAGUGGUAGUACUAAGUUAGGGAUCAUUCUUGUACUUUAACAAACUAAAAUAAAAUGAGGAACAAGAUAAAACAGAAAAGAUAUAAGAUAAAUAAAAAGGAAAAAUAAAAACAGAAAACUAAUAAAAAGAAACGAGCCCGCCCGGGCCAAACGGCCCAGCUGGCCGACCAGACCGCCCACCAGGCCGGCCCACGCGGCCCCUUCACCCCUUGGCCUAUAGGCCACCCCACCCCGACCGAAACCCUAACCUGCCCACUCCCCANNNNNNNNNNNNNNNNNNNNNNNNNNNNNNNNNNNNNNNNNNNNNNNNNNNNNNNNNNNNNNNNNNNNNNNNNNNNNNNNNNNNNNNNNNNNNNNNNNNNNNNNNNNNNNNNNNNNNNNNNNNNNNNNNNNNNNNNNNNNNNNNNNNNNNNNNNNNNNNNNNNNNNNNNNNNNNNNNNNNNNNNNNNNNNNNNNNNNNNNNNNNNNNNNNNNNNNNNNNNNNNNNNNNNNNNNNNNNNNNNNNNNNNNNNNNNNNNNNNNNNNNNNNNNNNNNNNNNNNNNNNNNNNNNNNNCUCGUCUCCUCCCCCGAUCCAAUCUGGAUCGGGCACGACAACGCCGCCCCUCGCAGGACCUUCCCUCCUCACCGGCCGUCCUCGACCCCCUCCUCGCCGGCCUGCCUCCUCUCCGCACGUCGUCUCCGACCUCCUCCCCGAGCACCGCUGCCUCGUACCCUACGCCCCGCGGUGAGGCUCCGGCCUCCCUCCCUCUCCACCCUUUUUCUUCUUCACCGGCAUCGCCCACCGCGCGCCGACCGCGCUCGGCCCCGCACCUCGCCGUGAUCCUCCGCGCCCCCGUACGCGCACGCCCUCGCCCGCUCACGGCGCUCCCGCCCCCUGCCUCGAGCACGCCGCCCUGCGCAUCCUGGACGCGCCCGUGCUGUGCUCCCCUCGCCCGCUCCGGCCGCUUCCUCCCGCAGCCCUCAGGCCCACCCGCGCCCGUCGUUAAUAUUAACUAAUUAAGAUUAAUUAACCUAAUAAUUAAUUAAGAUUAAUUAACCUAAUUAAUCCUGUUAAUAUUAACUAAUUAAGAUUAAUUAACCUAAUUAAUUACUGUUAAUUAGCUAACAGUCCCUGACAGGUGGGACCCACCUGUCAGGUUGACCAGGUCAACGGUCAACGUUGAUUGCUGAAGUCAUGCUGACGUCAUGCUAAUGCAUUAAUUAAAUUUCGAAUUAAAUUAAUUUAUUAAAUUCUAAAAAUGAUUUAAAUCUUUAGAAUUUAAUAUAAAAUAAUCCGUAACUCGGAUGAAAAAACUUUGUACAUGGAAGUUGCUCAGAACGACGAGACGAAUCCGAAUACGUAGUCCGUUCGUCCGCCACACAUCCCUAACAUAUCGAACUCACAACUUUCCCCCUCCGUUUCAUCUGUCCGAAAAUGCGAAACAUCGGGAAUACUUUCCCGGAUGUUCCCCCCCUUCGCCGGUACCACCUACUGCCGCGUUAGGGCACACCUAGUACCGCUCAUUGUCAUGUCACGCAUCGUCAUGCUUAUGUUUGCAUUGUAUUUACUGCUUCUUCCCCCUCUUCUCUCCGGUAGACUACGAGACCGACGCUGCUGCUGUCCAGUUCGACUACGGAGAUGACGACCCUCCUACUUGCCAGAGCAACCAGGCAAGCCCCCCCCCCCUUGAUCACCAGAUAUCACCUAUUCUUCUCUAUACUGCUUGCAUUAGAGUAGUGUAGCAUGUUACUGCUUUCCGUUAAUCCUAUCCUGAUGCAUAGCCUGUCAUUGUUGCUACAGUUGUUACCCUUACCUACUAUCCUACUGCUUAGUAUAGGAUGCUAGUGUUCCAUCAGUGGCCCUACACUCUUGUCCGUCUGCCAUGCUAUACUACUGGGCCGUGAUCACUUUGGGAGGUGAUCACGGGUAUAUACUAUAUACUUUAUAUACAUGACACAUGUGGUGACUAAAGUCGGGUCAGCUCCUUGAGUACCCGCAAGUGAUUCUGAUGAGGGGGCUGAAAGGACAGGUGGCUCCACCCCGGUAGAGGUGGGCCUGGGUUCCUGACGGCCCCCGACUGUUACUUUGUGGCGAAGCGACAGGGCAGGUUGAGACCACCUAGGAGAGAGGUGGGCCUGGCCCUGGUCGGCGUUUGCGGAUACUUAACACGCUUAACAAGUUCUUGGUAUUUGAUCUGAGUCUGGCCAUUUGAUCUAUACGCACUAACCAUCUACGCGGGAGUAGUUAUGGGUAUCCCGGCGUCGUGGUAUCAGCCGAAGCCUUCGUCACGUCAGCGACUGAGUGGCGCGCGCCGGAUUGGACUGGAACGCCACUAGGCUAGGUCUGCUUCCGGCCGCGUACGCAACGUGCAGGUGUGCAAUGGGCGAUGGGCCCAGACCCCUGCGCGCAUAGGAUUUAGACCGGCGUGCUGACCUCUCUGUUGUGCUUAGGUGGGGCUGCGACGUGUUGAUCUUCCGAGGCCGGGCAUGACCCAGAAAAGUGUGUCCGGCCAAAUGGGAUCGAGCGUGUUGGAUUAUGUGGUGCACCCCUGCAGGGAAGUUUAUCUAUUCGAAUAGCCGUGUCCCUCGGUAAAAGGACGACCUGGAGUUGUACCUCGACCUUAUGACAACCAGAACUGGAUACUUAAUAAAACACACCCUUCCAAGUGUCAGAUACAACCCGGUGAUCGCUCUUUAACAGGGCGACGAGGAGGGGAUUGCCGGGUAGGAUUAUGCUAUGCGAUGCUACUUGGAGGACUUCAAUCUACUCUCUUCUGCAUGCUGCAAGAUGGAGAUGGCCAGAAGCGUAGUCUUCGACAGGAUUAGCUAUCCCCCUCUUAUUCUGGCAUUCUGCAGUUCAGUCCACCGAUAUGGUCCUUUACACAUAUGCCCAUGCAUAUGUAGCGUAGCUCCUUGCUUGCGAGUACUUUGGAUGAGUACUCACGGUUGCUUUUCUCCCACUUUUCCCCCUUUCCUUUCUACCUGGUUGUCGCAACCAGAUGUUGGAGUCCAGGAGCCAGACGCCACCGUCAACGACGACUCCUACGGCACUGGAGGAGCCUACUACUACGUGCAGCCCGCUGACGACGACCAGGAGUAGUUAGGAGGAUCCCAGGCAGGAGGCCUGCGCCUCUUUCGAUCUGUAUCCCAGUUUGUGCUAGCCUUCUUAAGGCAAUCUUGUUUAACUUAUGUCUGUACUCAGAAGUUAUGCUUCCGCUGACUCGUCUAUGAUCGAGCACUUGUAUUCGAGCCCUCGAGGCCCCUGGCUUGUAUUAUGAUGCUUGUAUGACUUACUUAUGUUUUAGAGUUGUGUUGUGAUAUCUUCCCGUGAGUCCCUGAUCUUGAUCGUACACAUUUGCGUGCAUGAUUAGUGUACGGUCAAAUCGGGGGCGUCACAAGUUGGUAUCAGAGCCGACUGCCUGUAGGAAUCCCCCUUUCCAACUCCUUGGCCGAAGUCGAGUCUAGACAUUGCAAAAACUUUUACUAACAUGGCUGUGUGUCUUAUGGGCCCACGUCGCCAUUGGGUGGUAUUAGGAUCUUUUACUCCUUGUCUAUACUCUGGGACUCUGAUCUCUCUUCUAUUCGGGUUAAGUGAAUUUUGCUAAAUCUAACAUUAGGAUCUCGUUAUCACUUUCACCCGGAGAGCCCCUUAUUACUAAUGAUCGUCUGCUGCACGUGAAGACCCUGAAGAUACUCUCCGCUGAUAACCCGAGAACUUGUGUUCAUCGCUUUUGCAAUUCCCUUUCAACGAUAAACUCCUAUGGAUAACCACGUAUACUCGCCAUUCAUACAAUGUUUCCCAGUUGAUCUUGUUAUUACAAGGUACCCCGAAAUUCUCUCUGUUGUUCCGAGAAUCCUUUGAGCUUACUACCUUGCUGUUCUUUGUCACCUGAAUACCCCUACGGAUAAUUCUCGCACUUACCGAGUAUCCGCUCAUCCCCAGUUGAUUCAAGUAUUUCACAAAAGUGUUCAAAAUACCAUUCGAUCUUCCGAAAAUCCUCAGGAGCCUUUUUGCUCUUGAAAUUCUUGCUUACUUGCAUUAUGAUUAAUUUUAAGUCUCGUAAUCUUAUUGGCAUCUCUUGUCAUUAUCAUUUUGAGUCUGUUGAUUCAGUUUGUUGUGAAUGCUCGCAAUCCUCAAUCAGAGCCUAGAAUUCAUCCUUCUGGCUCAGAUGUCAUAUUAAACAUGAGUUGGUUCUCGACCAAUCAAAUUGCCGUCGAUUGUACACCUAAGGCUAUUCAACUUAUCCACCCUUAAUCAGAGCGUUUGCCUAUGAUCCCUUGAUUUGGAAAUCAUAAUUCCUUUGCAAUUCAGCUCUGAGUUAGUCAGUUGUUUCUAUAAUUCAAUGUCUUUGCAUUGUUUCUUGCUCUGGUUUUGUGCCGAUACUCACCAGAUCCUUUAUGGACUAACAGAUCCUUUGUUGGAUUUUAUCCGACAAUGUCCUUCAUAUUCAAUAUCCUUGUGAGCCUUUCCACAGAUAUAUAAUGCCUUUGGUAAAUUGUAUCCUCUGCUUUUUCAACCAUGCUCUACUUUCGAGCCUGUGUUUAUUACUCCUGAAGGUUGUGUUAUAUGUCCCUACAAUACCCCGAUGGGUUGAACCUAUGCCUUCCUUGAUAUGUGUGAACUUGAAAGUUUGCACGAGUCAUACUCUUCUGCUAUUUUGCCAGAUAAAAUUUCAACACUACAACUUCUUCGAAAAUGAGAAGUGAAUGGAAGGUUAUACAUUGAAGAAGUGGGAGUCGACCUUGAACUUUGUGUUCAUGCCCAUGGACACGAUGUAGAUCCUAUCGUAGAAGCUUCUUGUAAUAUUAACUGUUUCGUUGAUAUAAUAUCAUCGGGUAUCUGUGAAUUGAUCCUAUGCAAUCGUGGUUUCGACCAUAAUUUCUCUUUGAUCCCAUUUCUCGGACAAGUUAAAGCACUUGUCUUUUGCAAGUCAAUACACCAGUCCAACCUCUACCUUGAUCUACCGUCGAGUAUUUCCCUCUGGUAUCUCGAGAAUAUCUAAGAACUGUUGUUGCAUCUUAUGAGUCUUCAUCAGCUAUUAUUUCUCACUGAUUCCAAGUUUUCAUGGGCUCUGAGUUAUUAAACACUCAAAGACACCGAUAACUGAACCGAGUCCGCACUAUGGUUCAACAACUCUUAGUAAUCUUCUUUACAUACGAGUUUGUACCCGAUCACGUCAUUCCUAGCCUGUUUGGCUAUAUCAUUAUCGUGCGAAAUUUUAACUGUGCUACAUGGUCCUUCUUCCCGGAGCACAAUUUUUGACGAUGAGCUAAGCUUACAUCGAUCUUCCUCAUCAUAUCAUUUCGCCUUAAAAGCAGCAAGCUUGAUUUUGAGUUUGUGUCGUAUUUGUGGCUCCAAUAAUCUUUUGUUGCAUCAGUCCUUCUGCGUGAUGCAAUCGUUGUUCAAUUGCUUCUUCGUGGAUCCUCUCUACAACAAAUUGUCGUGAUCAUCAUCAACAUUUUGACUCCUUCCAGGACUUCAAUGGAAUUCUAGAUGAUAAGUGCCAUCCUCGUUCCUUGGUAAUUUGGGUUACCAUCAACAUCAUCCUUACCUUCCUUUCAUCACAAACUUGUUCAUGUUAUGGAUGCAACUUGCUAUCCAGCUUGUAUUACGAUCUACCUUGUAGUAUUACUGCCGUUUUGUCAAGAAUGUGGUGAGAAUCUCACCACCUCUUGAGAAUUCUCGAUAUAAGUGAUACUUCACCAUCACCAUUCUUUCUUGGUCCACGUGUUGUUCCUAACAGGAAUACCGACAGAUGGACUAGUAAUUUUAAAACUGCUAGCAACCUUAUUGCUUUGAAGUUAAAGGUCAACAUUUCAAUCUUAGACCACUGGUUAUCGAAUCGCCAUUCUAACAUUGUUUGUGCUACCUAAGUCCGUAUUUCGGGUGCACCGUCAACCAAUGUUUAAUCGUGUAUGUUUCCUCAAGCAUACCUCAUUAUAUCAUUUGAACUGACAAAAGCUAUCUCCUUGUUCACAUAAUUAUGGAAAUCCAUCUUUUUGGAAAUCUCGAGGAAUUGUCGCUGAGUCCAUCAGCCACCCCCUCAUUCUCUCCUUGAUUUAAUGAUGAACUCUUGUUCCGGAACUCGCUUCCAUGGUUUAAUUCCCGAGAAUCAUACAAUGUCACCUCGACAAUUUGUGUUGCACCUUUCUUCUCAGGCAUCCUGAGUCUGAGGUAUCCUGACACCAAUCUGAUCUGAAUCUUGGUCAGAAAUGAUGGUUGGAACGUAAUUCCAAGAGUUAUAACAUUGGUCUUUAUAUAACCCGGUAAGAUGAUGUCAUGCCUAGCACACAUGGCCGGAUGACCUAUUGAUAUAGUAUCCUCUUUACCAAGGUUAGCCAUUCUUCCAUGAGGAAAUUUAAGACUUAUUCCAUAAGUUGUUCCUGAUGGAUCCUUUGUGUAUCCAUAGCCUGAUCUUUACCUAAUGACCAUGUCAAUGCUAUCUCGAAGCAUGUCUAUGGUACUCCGAUUUUCAAUAAGAACAUUUGAAGCCCAAUGCUAAAUGUUUCUUGCUCAAUUAUCCAAACACCGUUGUUUGGGUAAUGACAUGAAAUUCCUCUCCCCUUACCUAAAUGGUUUUCUACAUUAUAUCCUGUCAGGGAUAUCAUGCCCUGCUUGUCCUUGGGAAGGAUAUACCCUUGAAAUAUGUGUUUAAACACAUUUUCCUUUCCAUUGUUCUGUUUAAUCUGAUAAUCAUAUUUUCCUUUCCAUUGUUUGGUUUAACCUUUCUGGUGAUCUAUAUGAUCUAAGCAGUAGUAUUCUCCUGCUUAUGUAAACACCUCGGUGUACAAUUCUGUCAGUAAGACCCUGUUACUAUUGUCGAUGAUAUUCCGGUAACCACCGAUGGACGAGAACUUUGCCUAUUGCUCCGCCUCAUUUCGACGAGCAGGAAAAUGGUUCUCUUCGUCCCUCGCCCUUGGUACCGAUGUUGUUGCCGACAUAAAAGACAUGCUAUCCUCUGACAUGCCUCGCUUACGUGAUCACGCAAGACGUCUCUGCCCUUCCUACUUUUAACCCACAUGGUGGGCCCAUAACCCACAGUUCCACAGGAUCGAAACCUGACUCUUCUAUACAACCCUGUUUCUAAUGGUUAUUCCUCACACUUGGCUCCGUAUUUAAUUCGCAGGCCACCUUCCUAGUGAUAUAUUCGGGUAUCAGACGCAAUACUUAUUCUCGUUGCUCUGAACCCCUUUCACCUUCUGAUAGGCAUCGAAUGCUUGCCUAUCGGUUUGAAACUUCUUAUGGUACCUUCUUACUUUGCUCUCGACAUCUUCUUAGGUUUCAAUUCGAGAGAUACUUAUGCUUCUUUCCCUGAGUUAACCGCUUGAUGCUCGAUCUUGUUAGAAUCCGUCCUUAUAGGGUUUUCCCUUCUCACCCUUUCGUAAGUACGGUGAAGAUCCUGAAGGAAGGACGACAAACUUCAUCAUGAUGACCUGAAGCAGAGGACUGAAGACAUCAAUGUAAUGGAUCGACCUCUUCGAGAAGAGCAACUAUGACCGAGAAGAAUCGUUAGAAUUUCGUAACCAGAUCCCUUCCCCCUUAUAACCGCUCCUAAAUCUCGGGACGAGAUUUCUUGUAGUGGAGGAGAAUUGUGACGCCCGGGUAAUUAGGCUACAGUAAUCCCACGUUAAUGAUGCCACGUCACCACGGUUACUGUUGUUAAUCUCGUGUUAGUUCAAAAUCGAUUCGAAAUUCAAACUUAAAAUAAAGUCAAACGGUAAAGAUUUUCAAAUAUUAAAACUAAAAUGUUGGGGUGUUGCCAAAUAAUGCAUAGGUAAUUAUUGUGGAGAAACCACACUUAUAUAUAAUCUUUAAAUACUCUAAAAUGAAUAAAACAGUAGUCAAAACAAUUAUUGAAAUGCCUUUUAUAAUUAGUAAAAUGUUAAACUAUUCUAUUUAGGUGUUAAACUUUUUAUCGCAGUGGGUUUAGUGGUAGUACUAAGUUAGGGAUCAUUCUUGUACUUUAACAAACUAAAAUAAAAUGAGGAACAAGAUAAAACAGAAAAGAUAUAAGAUAAAUAAAAAGGAAAAAUAAAAAC